rnacentral:tRNA from 1 species
GGAUGUAGCUUAUUGGUAAGAGUACUUGCCUAACACAUCACAAGGCCCUGGGUUCAAUCCCCAGUACCA